rnacentral:rRNA from 1 species
AUUGAACGCUGGCGGCAUGCCUUACACAUGCAAGUCGAACGGUAACAGGUCUUCGGAUGCUGACGAGUGGCGAACGGGUGAGUAAUACAUCGGAACGUGCCCAGUCGUGGGGGAUAACGAAGCGAAAGCUUUGCUAAUACCGCAUACGAUCUACGGAUGAAAGCGGGGGAUCGCAAGACCUCGAGCGAUUGGAGCGGCCGAUGGCAGAUUAGGUAGUUGGUGGGGUAAAGGCUUACCAAGCCUACGAUCUGUAGCUGGUCUGAGAGGACGACCAGCCACACUGGGACUGAGACACGGCCCAGACUCCUACGGGAGGCAGCAGUGGGGAAUUUUGGACAAUGGGCGCAAGCCUGAUCCAGCAAUGCCGCGUGCAGGAUGAAGGCCUUCGGGUUGUAAACUGCUUUUGUACGGAACGAAAAGCUCUGGGUUAAUACCCUGGGGUCAUGACGGUACCGUAAGAAUAAGCACCGGCUAACUACGUGCCAGCAGCCGCAGUAA